CACUGAAUCCAGAGUCGAUCGCGUCAGUAGUGGGAGAACGCCUGACGAGCGAGCCUCUUGGUUCCACGUGCGAGAUCCGCACUUCACUUGUUCGUGUCUUGGGAGAGACCGGCAGAGUGCGUUGUCGUAUGCGGCUAGCAGUGUUUUGUUCAAUGUGGCGUCUGUGAAUAGGCGUUGCAUUAUUAGUGCUAAUGUGACUUUUUAAUUGAGUGAUUAGAAGUUAACCCGCACGCAAAUUGCCUCAGUAUUUCUCAACAAUGUGCAGUGCAGAGCGGGAUUAACUUCAGUAGCCGCCGAGAUUUAUGAUGGCUCUGAAGUAUGGACAGCGAAUACGAGAGACAAUUGUGAAGAAUGAGGAGCAGAAUUUCUCUUGUUAUGAGUUGGUCCACAGUUGGUUGUGAAAUAGAAGCUGCGUCCGCGGAUUGUGAAGUUACAGACAAAGCGGCCACAUUACCGAUAGGCUUCAGGAAGUUGAAUCUACAGUACGACGUUGAAGCACACAUUUAUACCCAGAUAAUUUGUGAAACGUCAGGCAUUCUUCCAGGAA